GAUGAACGCUAGCGGGAGGCUUAACACAUGCAAGUCGAGCGGCAAGGCAGCAAUGCCCUAGAGCGGCGCACGGGUGAGUAACGCGUAUGCAACCUACCUUUUACAGGGGGAUAGCCCAGAGAAAUUUGGAUUAAUACCCCAUAGUACUAUUUAUCUGCAUGGGUGAAUAGUUAAAGAUUUAUCGGUAAAAGAUGGGCGUGCGUGACAUUAGGUAGUUGGUGAGGUAACGGCUCACCAAGCCGACGAUGUCUAGGGGUUCUGAGAGGAUGAUCCCCCACACUGGUACUGAGACACGGACCAGACUCCUACGGGAGGCAGCAGUGAGGAAUAUUGGUCAAUGGGCGAGAGCCUGAACCAGCCAUCCCGCGUGAAGGAUGAAUGUCCUAUGGAUUGUAAACUUCUUUUCUGCACCAAGAAAAUGUCGUACGUGUACGAUUUUGACGGUAGUGCAGGAAUAAGCAUCGGCUAACUCCGUGCCAGCCGCCGCUGUAACAC
rnacentral:rRNA from 1 species